GGGUCGUUAGCUCAGUCGGUAGAGCAGUUGACUUUUAAUCAAUUGGUCGCUGGUUCGAAUCCAGCACAACCCACCA
rnacentral:tRNA from 1 species